rnacentral:lncRNA from 1 species
UGUGCGUGUUGUUGCUCUGAUUUUCGAGUCUUGUGUGCGUUGCUCAUUCCCACCUUACUCCGCAUUUCUUUGUGAACUCAAUUGUAAGGGCGAGAGACUCCAAGUUGUGGAGAUUCCUCGCAAACGGGAAAAGAUCAAAGGAAAGAAAAACAUCGUGGUAUUCAAGUUGAUCAUUGGAUCACUUGAGAGGAGUUGAGUGCAACUCUCGUCCGUUGGGACGCCACAACGUGGAGUAGGCAAGUUUUGUACUUGGCCGAACCACGGGAUAACCACCGUGUCAACUCUGUGAUUGCUUUCUUGUGGUUAUCGUGUUUUGAGUCCUCUCUAGCCACUUGGCCAUACUUGUGCUAACCCUUAACAAGUUUUUGUGGCUUAAGUUUUGAACUUUUACAGGAUCACCUAUUCACCCCCCCCCCCUCUAGGUGCUCUCAAUUGGUAUCGGAGCCGUUCUCUUCAAGAAAGGGACUAACCGCCCGAAGAGAUGGAUCCUAAGGGGAAGGGAAUUGUGAUCAACGACAAGGAGAAGGAGUCCUUCGUCAACGAACCAAGGGAUGACAAGUCCAAUGACUCGGGCUCGGGCCACAAGCGAAGAGAUGGGAAGAAGAAGAAGACAAGACGCAUCAAGGAGAUCGUCUACUACGACAGCGAUGAGUCCUCUUCUUCCCAAAAGGACGACGACCACGACAAACAAAGGAAACCGGUUAAUUCUAACUUUUCUUUUGACUACUCUCGUAUUCCGCAAAGUUCAAAUUCACAUUUGCUUUCUAUUCCACUCGGCAAGCCCCCACACUUUGAUGGGGAGGACUACGGAUUUUGGAGCCACAAAAUGCGUAGUCACCUAUUCUCUCUCCAUCCUAGCAUAUGGGAGAUUGUAGAUAGUGGAAUGCACUUUAAUAGUUCGGAUAGUCCUAUAUUCAUUAAUGAGCAAAUCCAUAAGAAUGCACAAGCUACUACUGUUCUUCUAGCCUCAUUGUGCAGGGAUGAAUAUAAUAAAGUGAGUGGCUUGGAUAACGCCAAGCAAAUCUAGGAUACCCUCAAGAUCUCUCAUGAGGGAAAUGACGCUACCUUGCUCACCAAAAUGGAGUUGGUGGAGGGCGAGCUUGGACGGUUCGCGAUGAUAAGGGGCGAGGAGCCAACUCAAACAUACAACCGGCUCAAGACCCUUGUCAACAAGAUAAGGAGCUAUGGAAGCACGCGAUGGACGGACCACGACGUCGUCCGCCUAAUGCUAAGGUCCUUUACUGUUCUUGAUCCUCAUUUGGUAAAUAAUAUUCGUGAGAAUCCCAGGUACACCAAAAUGUCGCCCGAAGAAAUUCUUGGAAAAUUCGUAAGCGGGCGGAUGAUGAUCAAGGAGGCAAGGUACGUCGAUGACGCGUUGAACGGUCCAAUCCACGAGCCUCAACCCAUUGCUCUCAAGGCAUCGAGGAGCAAGGAGGCACUACCAAGCAAGGUGGCACAAAUUGAGGCGGCCGGGCUUAAUGAUGAAGAAAUGGCUCUCAUCAUUAAGCGCUUCAAGACGGUGCUAAAGGGUCGCAAUGGACAGCCGAGCAAGACUAAGACCAAGGGGAAGCGAUCAUGCUUCAAAUGCGGUAAGCUUGGUCAUUUUAUUGCUAAUUGUCCUGAUAAUGAAAGUGACCAGGAAAAGGGAAACAAGAGGGAAAAGAAGAAGCAUUAUAAGAAGGCAAAGGGCGAGGCGCAUCUAGGCAAGGAGUGGGACUCGGAUUGCUCCUCGUCCGACUCCGACAAUGAAGGACUCGCCGCCACCGCCUUCAACAAAUCAACCCUCUUCCCCAACGAGCGUCACACAUACCUUAUGGCAAGGGAGAAGAAGGUUUAUGCAUCCGGGGGUUCAAGCUGGAUUAUCGAUAGCGGAUGCACAAACCAUAUGACGGGGGAGAAGAAGAUGUUCACCUCCUACGUCAAAAAUAAGGAUUCCCAAGAUUCAAUUAUAUUCGGUGAUGGGAAUCAAGGCAAGGUAAAAGGGUUAGGUAAAAUUGCGAUUUCUAAUGAGCAUUCUAUCUCUAAUGUAUUUUUAGUAGAGAGUCUUGGAUAUAAUUUGCUAUCUGUUAGUCAAUUAUGUCAUAUGGGGUAUAAUUGUCUAUUUACAAAUGUAGAUGUGUCUGUCUUUAGAAGAAGUGAUGGCUCACUAGCUUUUAAGGGUGUAUUAGACGGCAAACUUUAUUUAGUUGAUUUUGCAAAAGAAGAGGCCGGUCUAGAUGCAUGCUUAAUGGCUAAGACUUGCAUGGGCUGGCUGUGGCAUCGCCGCUUAGCACAUGUGGGGAUGAAGAACCUUCACAAGCUUCUAAAGGGAGAACACGUGAUAGGUUUGACUAACGUGCAUUUCGAAAAAGAUAGACCUUGUGCAGCUUGUCAAGCAGGUAAACAAGUGGGAGGAGCACAUCACACCAAAAAUGUGAUGACGACAUCAAGACCCCUGGAGCUGCUGCAUAUGGACCUCUUCGGACCUGUCGCCUAUCUGAGCAUAGGAGGGAGUAAGUAUGGUUUAAUUAUUGUUGAUGAUUUUUCCCGCUUCACUUGGGUGUUCUUUUUGCAGGAUAAGUCUGAAACCCAAGGGACCCUCAAGCGCUUCCUCAGGAGGGCUCAAAAUGAGUUUGAGCUCAAGGUGAAGAAGAUAAGGAGCGACAACGGGUCCGAGUUCAAGAACCUUCAAGUGGAGGAGUUCCUUGAAGAGGAAGGGAUCAAGCACGAGUUCUCCGCUCCCUACACACCACAGCAAAAUGGUGUGGUAGAGAGGAAGAACAGGACGCUCAUCGACAUGGCGAGGACGAUGCUAGGAGAGUUCAAGACCCCCGAGUGCUUUUGGACGGAAGCCGUGAACACGGCGUGCCACGCCAUCAACAGGGUCUACCUUCAUCGCCUCCUCAAGAAGACGUCGUAUGAGCUACUGACCGGUAACAAACCCAAUGUAUCGUACUUUCGUGUAUUUGGGAGUAAAUGCUACAUUCUAGUGAAGAAGGGUAGAAAUUCUAAGUUUGCUCCCAAAGCUGUAGAAGGAUUUUUAUUAGGUUAUGACUCAAAUACAAAGGCGUAUAGAGUCUUCAACAAAUCAUCGGGUUUGGUUGAAGUCUCUAGCGACGUUGUAUUUGAUGAGACUAAUGGCUCUCCAAGAGAGCAAGUUGUUGUUUGUGAUGAUGUAGAUGAAGAAGAUGUUCCGACAGCCGCUAUACGAACCAUGGUGAUUGGAGAAGUACGGCCACAGGAACAAGAUAAACGAGAUCAACUUUCUUCCUCAACUAUGGUGCAUCCCCCAACCGAAGAUGACGAACUGGUACCUCAAGUGGAGGCGCUCGAUCAAGGGGGAGCACAAGAUAAUCAUGUGAUGGAGGAAGAAGUGCAACCGGCACCUCCAACCCAAGUUCGAGCGAUGAUUCAAAGGGAUCAUCCCGUCGACCAAAUUCUGGGUGACAUUAGCAAGGGAGUAACUACUCGAUCUCGAUUAGUUAAUUUUUGUGAGCAUUACUCCUUUGUCUCUUCUAUUGAGCCUUUCAGGGUAGAAGAGGCCUUGCUAGAUCCGGACUGGGUGUUGGCCAUGCAAGAGGAGUUAAACAACUUCAAGCGCAAUGAAGUUUGGACACUGGUGCCUCGUCCGAAGCAAAAUGUUGUGGGAACCAAGUGGGUGUUCCGCAACAAACAGGACGAGCACGGGGUGGUGACGAGGAACAAGGCUCGACUUGUGGCAAAAGGUUAUGCCCAAGUCGCAGGUUUGGAUUUCGAGGAGACUUUUGCUCCUGUGGCUAGGCUAGAGUCAAUUCGAAUCUUGUUAGCAUAUGCCGCUCACCAUUCUUUCAGGUUGUACCAAAUGGAUGUGAAGAGCGCCUUCCUCAACGGGCCAAUCAAGGAGGAGGUGUACGUGGAGCAACCCCCUGGCUUUGAGGAUGAACGGUACCCCGACCAUGUGUGUAAGCUCUCUAAGGCGCUCUAUGGACUUAAGCAAGCCCCAAGAGCAUGGUAUGAAUGCCUUAGAGACUUUUUACUUGCUAAUGCUUUCAAGGUUGGGAAGGCCGAUCCAACUCUUUUUACAAAGACAUGUGAUGGUGAUUUGUUUGUGUGCCAAAUUUAUGUCGAUGACAUAAUAUUUGGUUCUACUAACCAAAAGUCUUGUGAAGAGUUUAGCAGGGUGAUGACGCAGAAAUUCGAGAUGUCGAUGAUGGGCGAGUUGAACUACUUCCUUGGGUUCCAAGUGAAGCAACUCAAGGACGGCACCUUCAUCUCCCAAACGAAGUACACGCAAGAUCUGCUAAAGCGGUUUGGGAUGAAGGACGCCAAGCCCGCAAAGACUCCGAUGGGGACCGACGGACACACAGACCUCAACAAAGGAGGUAAGUCCGUUGAUCAAAAAGCAUACCGGUCAAUGAUAGGUUCUUUGCUUUACUUAUGUGCUAGUAGACCGGAUAUUAUGCUUAGCGUAUGCAUGUGUGCUAGAUUUCAAUCCGAUCCUAAGGAAUGUCACUUAGUGGCGGUGAAGCGAAUUCUUAGAUAUUUGGUUGCUACGCCUUGCUUCGGGCUCUGGUAUCCAAAGGGGUCUACCUUUGACUUAGUUGGAUACUCAGACUCCGACUAUGCUGGAUGUAAGGUCGAUAGGAAGAGUACAUCGGGGACGUGCCAAUUCUUAGGAAGGUCCCUGGUGUCAUGGAACUCUAAGAAACAAACCUCCGUUGCCCUAUCCACCGCUGAGGCCGAGUAUGUUGCCGCAGGACAGUGUUGCGCGCAACUACUUUGGAUGAGGCAAACCCUCAGGGACUUUGGCUACAAUCUGAGCAAAGUCCCACUCCUAUGUGACAAUGAGAGUGCUAUCCGCAUGGCGGAGAAUCCUGUUGAGCACAGCCGCACAAAGCACAUAGACAUCCGGCAUCACUUUUUGAGAGACCACCAGCAAAAGGGAGAUAUCGAAGUGUUUCAUGUUAGCACCGAGAACCAGCUAGCCGAUAUCUUCACUAAGCCUCUAGAUGAGAAGACCUUUUGCAGGCUGCGUAGUGAGCUAAAUGUCUUAGAUUCGCGGAACUUGGAUUGAAUUGUAGCAUACAUGUGUUUAUGCCUUUGAUCAUGUUCCUUUUUGCAUUUUGUUGCUUAUUGUGGUGCUCAAGUUGUACCAACACUCCCUGGACCUCACAAGUCCGUUGCAAAGUGAUGCACAUGUUUAGGGGGAGAUGUGUCACAACUUGGCCCUUUGAGACUAACCAUUUGCUUGAGUUUGCGUGAUUGAGUCUCGAAGGAGGAUUGAAAGGGAAAAGGUGGACUUGGACCAUGAAAGACUUCCACUGCACUCCGAUGAGAGGGUAACUAAUUCCAAGUUCAUCUCAUGAAAUCUUAUUGCCAUUUGCUCUUAAUUGAAGACUUUGGUGAGGCAAUGGGGUUAAAAGGCCAAGAUUGAUCCCGUUUUGGUGCUUGAUGCCAAAGGGGGAGAAAAUAAAGGCCAAAGCAAUAAAUGGAUCAGCUACCACUUGAGAGAUGAUUUUGAAAAUAGUAGAAUAGAGUUUUUGUUUUGUCAAAAGCUUUUAUUGUCUCUUAUUGUCUCUAUUGUCAAAAGAUGGCUUCUUGUGGGGAGAAGUGUUGAUUAUGGGAAAUAGGGGGAGUUUUUGAAAUCUUUGAUCAAUCUUUUUUGGAAUGACUCUCUUUAUGCUUCAACAUGUGUGUUUGACUUAGAGAUAGAGGUUUGAGUUUGAUUUGCAAAAACAAACCAAGUGGUGGCAAAGGAUGAUCCAUAUAUGCCAAAAUUGAAUCAAAACCAAUUUGAGUUUUAUUUGAAGUGAUUUUGCACUUGUUCUAGUUGCUUUAUGUUGUGUUGGCAUAAAUCACCAAAAAGGGGGAGAUUGAAAGGGAAAUGUGCCCUUGGGCCAUUUCUAAGUAUUUUGGUGAUUGAGUGUCAACACAAGUGUUUAAAUGUGAAUCAACGCCCCUGGAUGAACAAAGUGCAAAUCUAGAGAAAAGGUAUGUUUCUAAGUCUUAGUACAUUGGUUUUGUGUACUAAUAUAUUUGUCUAAGUGUUAGAAACAGAUAGAAGAAGAGAAGAGAAGACUUGGCUGUGUACAGCCAAGGGGCUGCUUCGGUCUGGGGCACCGGACUGUCCGGUGGUGCACCGGACAGUGUCCGGUGGUGCACCGGACAGUGUCUGGUGCGCCAGGCUGCCUCGGCCGAAGAGGCCGCUCUCGGGUUUUUCUCCGGCGACUUCGGCUAAAAUUCACCGGACUGUCCGGUGUGCACCGGACUGUCCGGUGAGCCAACGGUCGGCCGGGCCAACGGUCGGCCGCGCGAUCGGCGCGCGACACGUGGCCGAGCCAACGGUCGGAAGGAAGCACCGGACUGUCCGGUGUGCACCGGACUGUCCGGUGCGCCAGAUCUGCAACGGUCGGCAACGGUCGGCUUCGCCAUUUAAGGAAACAAAUCGGGCACCGGACAGUGUCCGGUGUGCACCGGACUGUCCGUUGCGCCACGAGACAGAAGGCAAAGAUGGCCUUCCAGAUUUGUUCCCAACGGCUCCUAGCUUCCUUGGGGCUAUAAAAGGGACCCCUAGGCGCAUGGAGGAGCAUACCAAGCAUUCCUACAACUCUUCUAAGCACCAAGACAUCAAUCUCACGCAUUCGUUUCAUUGUGAUAGCAUAUAGAGCUCUUGUGGAGUUGUGAACUCUUUGUGUUGCGUUGCGAGCUCCUGUUGCGACUUGUGUGCGUGUUGUUGCUCUGAUUUUCGAGUCUCGUGUGCGUUGCUCAUUCCCACCUUACUCCGCAUUUCUUUGUGAACUCAAUUGUAAGGGCGAGAGACUCCAAGUUGUGGAGAUUCCUCGCAAACGGGAAAAGAUCAAAGGAAAGAAAAACACCGUGGUAUUCAAGUUGAUCAUUGGAUCACUUGAGAGGAGUUGAGUGCAACUCUCGUCCGUUGGGACGCCACAACGUGGAGUAGGCAAGUUUUGUACUUGGCCGAACCACGGGAUAACCACCGUGUCAACUC